rnacentral:antisense_RNA from 1 species
AGGCCAGUUUGCUAUUCUUAGUUCCAGCGGAAGUGGAUCUGACGUGGGCGAUCAGCACCUUCCUUUACCAAUGGCUUAUGGAACUCACGUCCAGCACGAGAGUGGAUAUUUGCCCAACAAAACUCACAGUAAUACUGCAGAAUAUGUAGUCAAAAAGAAGUAUGCUAAUGAAAUUUCUUCAAAUAGUAUAAAUAAUUAGUGAAGACUGCUACUAUAGGCUGCUGCUGUAUUUUUAAGAGGCUCAACUUCAAAUACCUCAACCUUUUAUGGAAAGAUGGAAACACACAACAAACUAUGUAGAUCUUGAUACAAGUCUCCAUCAAGUCGAUUCAUUUUCAAAAGUAAAUUACAUCCUAAUCUCAAACCUGUGGCAAGACAAGUCAUCAAAGAAUGGUAAAUCCACCAAAAGGCUAAUAA